CGAAGAGUUUGGGGGAAGACAUUAAAACAGAAGCAGAAUCUGAGCUCACUUCAACGGACAUUAGUUGUGCCAUUUGGUGUCUGCAGGGCACUGGGCUAGGUGUCAGAGGACAGAGGUGAGGAAGAAGUCGUCCCGCCCUGAAGGAUCUCAGUCUAGUCAGAGACAAGCUGUAAAUGGAUUAGUUCAAUAUGCUGUGGUGAUGAUAGUGAAGCUUGCUCUGGAGGAUGCUGUGAGGUCCGCUCUGGAGAUAGUUGCAAAGGGCCGUGGAUUGUUGUGCUCCUGGUGGACGGCACCAUUCCUGAGAUGGCUCUCCAUCCAUUUUUCCUGCUUGGCUGUUUUCUGGAAAGUGGAGAAAAAUGAUGGAGCUCUGCCCCAAGGAUCUCCUCUCACCACGAAUGCUAACAGAGCAGACACUCUGAACCGGCGGAGACGACUCAGCAUUUCCGAGGUUAUAGUAUCUGAGUCUCAGAGAUGUGAAAGCCUUGUUCAAACAUACACAAUUCUCAUAAGUGGCAGAGUUGAAAUGAAAACACAGGUAUCUUGACUCCAAGAACAGAGCUUUUCUGUGGCUGCUCAGAAAUAGGCAGUGUUUUAGGGGUUCUGGAUGCAAUUGCUCUAUGAAUAUGAAGCUUCUGAGACCUUCUGGGAAAAAGGCAAUUUGGAUCAGCCCCAUGACCAUAUGGCCACGAGGCAGGAACCAUUUUGUGAACCACCGAAGAGAACUGAGCAGACUGUGCUGACCAGCCUCAGAGACCACAAAUUGGGCUGGUUCUACGCUCUUUCACCUAUAAUUCACUGUUAUACUAGAGCCCUGCAGCUGUGAUGGCUUUCCUCUACGUGCUUGGCCAUGGCUUUGGCCCUUAAGAUAAGAGACUAUGUGGACCAAAAGGAAGAAGUGAAAACGGAAGAACAGGGGGAAUAAAGACUUGCAAGAAAUGUUUUUUUAUCUACCUACAAAGAAGUGAGAAAAAAUAGCUUGGAGAAGCAGGUCUCGCCACUCUUGAAUCCAUUUUGAUGAUGUCUUUGUGUAUCCUACAAAAAAAAAAAAAGUGCUAUCUGAAUGGUCAAGACCCUCAUUUGGAUAUGGAUGUCAUCCUUGGUCCCCAUAGUCAGUACAGUGCAGCCAUAUCUGGUGCUAACUGUCUGAGUUUAAUCCUGGCUCCCCCACCUACAUGCUGUGUGACUUUGGGCAAGUUAUGUGAACUUUCUGUACCUUAACUCUUUCAUCAAUGAAAUGCUCCUCAAAAUGUUCUUGUAUGGAUUAGAUGAAUAUAUCUAUAUCUGUAUUUCUGUGUUUGUUAGUAGUGCUUUGCAUGUAGUAAGCACUUAACAAAUGUUAACUGUUACUAUAACCAUUCCUUCUCCACUUCAUACACAUCAGUCCUAUCUGUAUCUCAUAAGUUCAGUGGCUUUCUCUCCAGGACUCAUUUUUAGCCUUCUUGAAUGCAGAUAUAUAACUGCAGGCUAAGGGAGAGAUGGUUUUUUUCACCAGCUUUAUACCCCACUUAAAUUGUUGGCAUCUAAAUCCAACCUGAGACUUUUAAGUAUUUUGCCAAUUUACUGAGUCCAGCAAAUAACUCCUCGUGCCUAGUGCCUACAGGGUGUGGUACAAGAUGUGCCUUUCUGGUUUGGCAUUGGUUCCCCUGAUAACUCCUUCCACUCCCUACCCAUUCAACCUUUCUCGUAUAUGAAAUUAUAUUCUUUGGCCAUUCAUUUCACGUAAUUGCAGCAUUUAGUUUUGAGUCUGUGCCCAGAGGCCUGUGGGCAGUGGGCAUGUUUAAGAAAUCUAAUAAAUGAAGGGAAAUAAAUGUACAGAGUGAAAAGUAAAUGGGCCAAUACUAUUCAGAGAAAAACCCCAAAGUGACUGCCUGCUUGCUAGAACAGGAAUAAUUUUAGAACAGGUCAGUAAUGUAAACAAAGUUAAUGAGAACAUUUUGCUUAGUAAAUAUACUAGGUCUGUGCUUUCUACCUUUCUCCUGGGUCUUUGCUUCAUAAGAGGAGUCUUACGACCCUUUUCUGGUGAAUAAAGUGCCUUGACCAGAAGCCAAGGUGGUCAGCCUUUUGCUCCAUUCAGCUCUCAGGUGACCAAGGCUAUAUGGAGGCUGUGGGGUAAUUUAAUUUUCCUUUACUAGCUCUUUUGAAAAAGAUACUGUGAGUAUUCAGUUUACACAAAUGGGGGAGCUCUCAAUCUGCUUUGUAAAUCAUUCUUUUCCUUUUGUUGACUUUGUCUCUGGAUGUGUCUUGUUGGGCUCAGCUUAUGUCCUCCUCCCUCCUCGAUGUAAUUAAGUGGCUCCCAGAACAGCUAGUCACAUGGAUACACUUUCAUCUGGUUGGUCACACCAGGCUCAGAAAGCAUUCAUACCUGUGUCCUUCACUCAUUUUACUAACUGAUGUUUUAAAAAUGCUAUCUAUCCAUCCAUCUAUCCAUCUAUUCCGGAGAAUUUUUACAUAUGGUUUGUUUCAUUGAUCUGACCCUUCUUGAGGAAUAACUGUGGCUUAUAUUCUUAGACUCCUUUGCACUUGACAAAGAAUAUUCACACGUACAAUGGUGGAAAGAGCCUGAAAUUGAUAGUUAUAUACCUGGUUCAAAUCCUGUCUUUGCUGGUUGCUAGUUCUGUAAUGUGAGGCAAAUCAUUUAUCCUUUCUUAGCCUGAGAUUUUCAUGUGUUAAAUGGAGACCAUCAUUAUAUAUAUGUAUAGCAUCCAUGUAGGAAUGUGUGAUGAAUAUAUUACAAAAUGAUGAGGUAAUAAAGACAAACAUUUUUAUCUCCAUUAAAAAAGGAGAAAAUUGAGCAUAGCAAGCACUGUUUCUGCCCUACCCAUAUGCCUUUCUCUUAUGUGGGAAGGUACCUACAGAUGGUUCUCCUGCACUGGGUCAGCCUCCUGGGUUUCUCUGCAUGGGGGUGUCCUUUGACCUUUGGGUAGACCAGAAGUGCUUGAGAACUAACAUUUGAAGAGAAACUUCCAGUUAAUGAGGGACAGGAGUAGGUGGUAAGUACCCGUGCUUCCUUGCCCUUUGGUGGGACAAUUCUGAGCUGAGUUCUACACAGUCACACAGAGAGUUCUUGGUAGGGUAGGAGGGUGGAUUGAGCCCCAGCUGCCCAGGGCAGUAAACCACUCACUAACAUUUCCUUCCCUGUCCCUCUUCUCAACUAGUUUCUUGGGCUCACCCCAUCUUUGAUAUGAUUUUGAGAUGACCCAGAUAAGACAGCAAGACUCUCAGAGGUUAAGAUGUUCAUGCACAGUCACAUAGCACUUGAGGGGCAGAGGUGUUAUAUGCCUUUUCUGCUGAAAUACUCUCCAUGGUGUUAUGGGAUUACACAUGCGGGAGACUAAAAAUCAAUUUUAUGCAAUUUUUCAUUGGAAAACAUAGUGAUUAUUGAGAAAAAAAAACCCAACUUUUUUCCCCUUUACUUUUAGAUUUAUGAAGCAUAUUUUAAAAAGACAAGGGAAGAAGAAUCUUGAGGUGAACAGAUGAAAGUUGCACAGUCAAUAAAAAUGAGAUCUGGGAAGUAAGGGAGGAACAUCAGUUGAGACUUUGAAAAACUUCUGAAGCCAUAGAAAUAAAUUUUAAAACAAUUACCUUUAUAUUAGGAAGAACAAUAAAAGAAUGGCAUUUCUGCUUGGGAAAGGUGGCCUAAAGUUAACCAAAGUAGAGAAGGCAGAACCAUUUGAGUUUUUGUUUCUCUUUCCUUUGUUUUUCUUUAAAGAGAACUGUCUUCAAAUGAUAAAAUUUGGCACUCACUUGCUUAAGAUUAAAUUGACACUUAAGUUUGGGGGGGAGCUACUAAGAGAUCAUUUAGCAGCUCACAAUGCAUUGCUGUCUCAGGCCUAGACAUCAUUCAACUUUGUAUACUGGAAAAACGAGAAGAUAUGAUAACAGAAUCAUUUCAAUAAUUAUCAACUUACUGUGGAGACUUGGGGAAGUGCCAAAAGUUCUGACACAUACAUCUAUAAUACAGAAACUACAGACAGAUACGUCUGAAUUUUGUUCUAGAUAAAAAUUCUAAAGUGGAUUGUUAGGAUACAGUUAUUUAAUAUUUAGAAAAAGGAGGUGGUCAUCCCUACAAAGCAGGAAAGUUUUGCUGAAACACAUUAUCGCAAUUAACCUUAUUUUGAAUUUGUGAUUGCAUUAUUAGAUGUAAAUCAGGGGUGUGUUUUUGUGUAGUGAAUAUUGUUAUACACAAGAGUGUACGUUGAUUUUCACCUUCGUGUUGAUUUGCAGUUUUGUUUGUUGAUUAGUGUAUUAAUUGAAGUAAUGUCAACUGAAUGGCCUUCUCACUCAGUGGAUUCAGAACUCAUGAAACAUGUCCUUAGGCUUUUAGUUCAAAGGAGGAUUGCUAUUUUUUGGUAUCAUUUAGUUUUGGAACAGGUUGAUUUGUAUGGUUUUGGUGUCAGGCCUCAGUUCAAAUACUGGCUCCAACAGUUUUUAAGUAAAUCAAGAAACUCUUAGUUUCCUUAGCUACAAAAUGGGGAGAAAAAAUAACAGUUAUUUCAUAGCGUUCUUUUGAUGAUUAGAUGAAAUAAAGUGUGUCAAAGAACGUCAUAAAUUAUUAUGCCUUAUAUAAAUGAUAGUGAUUAUUGCAUUUUAACAAGACAGUGUCUAAAUUUUCAAUCAUUAUGAGAAAAUC
rnacentral:lncRNA from 1 species